AGUGAACGCUGGCGGCGUGCUUAACACAUGCAAGUCGAACGAGAACGGAAUAUAGCUUGCUAUAUUUGUCAGCUAAGUGGCGCACGGGUGAGUAAUGUAUAGAUAACCUGCCCUUAAGAAAGGAAUAACAGUUGGAAACGACUGCUAAUGCCCUAUAUGCCUUUAAUACAUAAGUAUGCAAGGGAAACGCUUUAGUGCUUAAGGAUGGGUCUGUAUGGUAUCAGCUUGUUGGUGAGGUAAUGGCUCACCAAGGCUAUGACGCCUAACUGGUUUGAGAGGAUGAUCAGGCACACUGGAACUGAGACACGGUCCAGACUCCUACGGGAGGCAGCAGUGGGGAAUAUUGCACAAUGGACGAAAGUUUGAUGCAGCAACGCCGCGUGGAGGAUGACACAUUUCGGUGCGUAAACUCCUUUUAUAUAGGAAGAUAAUGACGGUACUAUAUGAAUAAGCACCGGCUAACUCCGUGCCAGCCGCCGCUGUAACAC
rnacentral:rRNA from 1 species